AAGUCUUCCAGUAUGGGGAGCAAAACAGCUAUGGGUCAAGUCCGAUAUCUUUAGGAGAAGUCUUAUUGUGAGGGCGAGUUAUAUAACACCAUAGGACUGGCCGUCCCAUAUGAAAAGAUUAUAUUAGAAUUGAAUGAAGCUUUGUUUAUAUAUUGAUAAUGACAGUAUAUAUAUCGUGUCUUGACUAAUUGCGUGCCAGCAGUCGCGGUAAUACGUAAGAGACUAGUGUUAUUCAUCUUAAUUAGGUUUAAAGGGUACCCAGACGGUCAAUAUAGCUUAUAAAAUGUUAGUACUUGACUAGAGUUUUAUGUAAGAGGGCAGUACUUGAGGAGGAGAGAUGAAAUUUCGUGAUACCAAAGGGACUCUGUAAAGGCGAAGGCAGCCCUCUAUGUAAAAACUGACGUUGAAGGACGAAGGCACAGAGAACAAACAGGAUUAGAUACCCAAGUAGUCUUUGCAGUAAAUGAUGAAUGCCAUAGGUUAGAUUGAUCAAUUAUAGUCUAGGGUUAGUCUAGCAAACUAAUGCCCUAUGAUAUAAUUCAAAAUAUCUGGUCUAUAAAUGAAAGUGUAAGCAUUUCACCUCAAGAGUAAUGUGGCAACGCAGGAACUGAAAUCACUAGACCGUUUCUGACACCAGUAGUGAAGUAUGUUAUUUAA
rnacentral:rRNA from 1 species